CUCCUACGGGAGGCAGCAGUGGGGAAUAUUGCACAAUGGGCGAAAGCCUGAUGCAGCGACGCCGCGUGAGCGAAGAAGUAUUUCGGUAUGUAAAGCUCUAUCAGCAGGGAAGAAAAUGAC
rnacentral:rRNA from 1 species